rnacentral:lncRNA from 1 species
UGUGGACACUGACCUAGCUGGUCUCAAAGGCCUCUUUCAAUUUUAACAUUCCCCCAUUCCAUUGACUAACACAGAGAUACUUUUAUUGCAGAAGUGCUUCGGUCAGGCAGUAUCUUUGAAAAUAAUUUGGCCAAUGAAAGCCCUGGCAUUGGAUGAAAGUGCUAGCUGCUGGGAAUGCUACCCCUCCUUUUGGUUCUCUUUCAAGUCCUUCAGGUUCAAACAAUACAGAAGUGUAUAAAGUAAGAAUUGAAAGUCUCUUCGCUGCUCUAAUCUCACUCCUCAGAGGUGAUCACUGGACCUGAGUGAGCAGAAGGCUUUUCAGAAUUACAGCCUGAACUAUUUCUUGAGCAAUUUGGGAACUCAUUUCUAAAGCAGUCCUCAGAUUCACACAACGUAGUUUGUGACGGAGUAUGCCCAGAGCAGUGUGGAAGAUGAUCAAAGUAUGACAUUUCUUCUACCCCAGAGGCUGGCAUUUCUGCAGGCACAAAUGAGCUUGGUUUUCAAGCACUGCUCUUUGAACACAAGGAAUUCCUUUAAUGAUCACGCCGGACUAUAUAGACUUUGGAAUCAGACUCUUUGAAUUCCAGCUCUGCCAUUUACCAACUUUGACACUUUGGACAACGUCUCAUUCUGUCACCCAGGCUGGAGUGCAGUGGCACAAUUAUAGCUCACUGCAGCCUCAAACACCUGGGCUCAAGCAAUCCUUCCACCUCUGCCUCCUGAGUAAUUGGGACUACAGGCAUGUGCCACCACACCCAGCUAAUUUUUAAUUUUUAAUUUUUUUGUAGAGAUGGCGGUCUUGCUAUGUCACCCAGGCUGGUCUUGAACACCUGGCCUCAAGUGAUCCUCCGGCCUUGGUCUCUCAAAGCUCUGGGAUUACAGACAUGAGCCACUGCACCCGGCUCUAUCUCCCCUUCCUAUGUGUGUUAGCUCUAGAACAAGAGAAGCCUUGUUGAGAUUCCUGGCUGCCCACCCCCCAUCACCUCUCUGACUUUGGGCAAGUUGCCUGGCCUCUCUCAGCCUUUAUUUUCUUUUUGUGAAAUGGGGAUAAUAAUAGUACUUGCCUCAUAGGCAAAAUGUUGUGAGAACUAAACGAGAAAAUGCAUGUAAAGCACUUGGCACUUAGUUCUUUUUAUGAUUAUAAUGAUAAUCAGACACAAUAAAUUAUGUCUCACAUCACAUGCUGUUUAGCCUAUUCACUGUUCUAUUUUUCCUGAAGUCAGUUCAGUGUGUAGCAUCCAGAAUUGAACAAAACACCCCCGAUGUGACCUGAUAGUGCAAAGUAAACUAUCAUCUCCUUCAUUCUAGGUAUUAUGUUUCUAUUAAUGCAGUCUAAAGGGUUUUGGAAAUCUGGAUUGUAGCAGGGCAUUUGAGAGAGCAGGCUACUUAUACUCUACUGAUCAGAUUACAAGUAUACUUAGUAAAGACAGAAAUAGUAUAGCCAUAAAAGAGUUUACCUUAAAAUGUCACCUGAUGUUAGUUGUCCCUCACUGAUUCAAGUAAUUUCCUUUAUUGAGGUGGAUCUGCCUGUUGGUGGAGAACCCUAGACUGCAUGCAGCCAUGCACAUGAUCUGGAGACACAGCAGAGACAAGGUCUUUGUCUGUUGCUCAGGAUGGAGUGUAGUGGUGCCAUAGCACACUGUAAUCUUGAAUUUCUGGACUACUGGCAUACACCACCAUGCUUAGGUUCGGGCCACAACAUCCGUGACUUUACCGGUUUUGGUCUCUUCCUUGUAACUUUCGGCUCCAGGAUGCUGCGCAGCUCCUCUCUGCACUAUCUAUCAGAACGUUGCUCUGCGUGCUUGAAAGUUUCGCCAAACAGAAGUACACAAAAACAAACAGAGGCGAAACACAAAUCCCCUCAGCCCUGGAGGAAAAGGCCUUGAAGCUCUUCCAGUGCAGAGGCCACGCAGAGGACAUGCUCCUACCUGUGCACAUCGGCCACGCCUGGGGUGCCUCCUGGAGUCCAGGCUGCUGGCGAUGGAAUCCAUCAUGUUGCUGAUGUCACUACUCUCAACUCCUGAUGGCAUCAGAACACAGGCAGCAUCAAGAUCAGGCUCAAGAUGCAGGAUUUUAUCAUCCAAAUCAGGCCCACAUAUGGAUGAAACCCUUCAGGUAUUCUGCACAUCUCUCAGGAAACCCAGAUGAAAUUGAGUGCCUGCUGCCCACAUCAGCAACCCA